rnacentral:rRNA from 1 species
UACGUAGGGUGCAAGCGUUGUCCGGAAUUAUUGGGCGUAAAGAGCUCGUAGGCGGUCUGUUACGUCUGCUGUGAAAACCAGGGGCUUAACCCUGGGCUUGCAGUGGAUACGGGCAGACUAGAGGCAGGUAGGGGAGAAUGGAAUUCCCGGUGUAGCGGUGAAAUGCGCAGAUAUCGGGAGGAACACCGGUGGCGAAGGCGGUUCUCUGGGCCUGACCUGACGCUGAGGAGCGAAAGCGUGGGGAGCGAACAGG